GACAGAGGGUGCAAACGUUGUUCGGAAUUAUUGGGCGUAAAGAGCUCGUAGGCGGUCUGUCGCGUCCGUUGUGAAAACUCGAGGCUCAACCUCGGGCUUGCAGUGGAUACGGGCAGACUAGAGUGCGGUAGGGGAGACUGGAAUUCCUGGUGUAGCGGUGAAAUGCGCAGAUAUCAGGAGGAACACCGGUGGCGAAGGCGGCAUCCUGGACCAUUACUGACGCUGAGGCGCGAAAGCUAGGGGAGCAAACGGG
rnacentral:rRNA from 1 species